UAUGUGAAUUAUUGGGUCACUUGAUCUUUAUGAAUUAUAGUUCAGAUGAAAUCUGAGUACAAGCAGAAUUUCCAAUGGUAUAGAAGACAAAAAAAUUUAGUGUCUAGUGAAAGUAAAAAGAAGAAAAACAGAGCUAAGCCAAGGAAAUGAUUUCUUUCCCACCUACAAUGCAUGAAAAGAAAUUAACAUGAAAAGGGUCUGAGGAAGACAUUAAUAUUUUGAUAGUGGCAGAAGAAUGUUAUUUACAAAAAUAAUGACAAAUGUUGAAGAGAAAAUACAGGCUUCCUAGCAACUAGACCAAAGAUAAGCUUUUCUACCUUGCUAUGUACGUAGUUUGAAUUUUACGUCUGUGUGGAUUUUAUGUCAGCCAGCUCAAGUCUCUAAUGGAAAGUUACAAAGCAUGUUCACGCCAAGUCUACAAACGUUUUGUUUUACUGGGGUCAGACGUGUUAGAAAAUUUCUCUAUUUCCUUUUAUCAGAUGCUGUUGAAUUCAAGAUAGACAUUUGGAAUAUACAGUUAGCUGUCAUUUGAACACAGGCCCAUGGCACAAGUUCAGAAACGUAAAGUUACAGAGAAAAUAAAGACCCCCAGAGCAAAAUCACCACAGUCUCCAUGGAAAUCAAUUGGUUCAUUCUUCGUCUUAAGAGUCCAGCAUUCACUCAACAAACAUCUUAUGCUGCCAGGUUUCUCUAAUGCAGCAGGUACGGUCACUAGGAAGAUUACAAACUUGGGUUAAAAAACCUAGAUCACGUUCAAGAUGUUGCAGCUGAGCAGUUACAAUCCAAGACC
rnacentral:lncRNA from 1 species